GUGCCAGCCGCCGCGGUAAUACAGAGGGUGCAAGCGUUGUUCGGAAUUAUUGGGCGUAAAGCGCGUGUAGGCGGCUUAGCAAGUUGGGUGUGAAAGCCCUCGGCUUAACCGAGGAAGUGCGCCCAAAACUACUUGGCUUGAGUACCGGAGAGGGUGGCGGAAUUCCCGGUGUAGAGGUGAAAUUCGUAGAUAUCGGGAGGAACACCAGUGGCGAAGGCGGCCACCUGGACGGUCACUGACGCUGAGACGCGAAAGCGUGGGGAGCAAACAGGAUUAGAAACCCUAGUAGUCC
rnacentral:rRNA from 1 species